rnacentral:tRNA from 1 species
CGGUGGCGUGGCCGCCGGAGGAGGGCGGUCCGCCGCCGUCGCGGCGGCGGAGGUAGCGCUCGAACUCCCGGGCGAUCGCCUCGCCCGACGCCUCC